AAUACAUGCAAGUCGAACGAGAUCUUCGGAUCUAGUGGCGCACGGGUGCGUAACGCGUGGGAACCUGCCCUUGGGUUCGGAAUAACAGCGGGAAACUGCUGCUAAUACCGGAUGAUGACGAAAGUCCAAAGAUUUAUCGCCCAAGGAUGAGCCCGCGUAGGAUUAGGUAGUUGGUGGGGUAAAGGCCUACCAAGCCUACGAUCCUUAGCUGGUCUGAGAGGAUGAUCAGCCACACUGGGACUGAGACACGGCCCAGACUCCUACGGGAGGCAGCAGUAGGGAAUAUUGGACAAUGGGGGCAACCCUGAUCCAGCAAUGCCGCGUGAGUGAUGAAGGCCUUAGGGUUGUAAAGCUCUUUUACCCGGGAUGAUAAUGACAGUACCGGGAGAAUAAGCCCCGGCUAACUCCGUGCCAGCAGCCGCGGUAAUACGGAGGGGGCUAGCGUUGUUCGGAAUUACUGGGCGUAAAGCGCACGUAGGCGGCGAUUUAAGUCAGAGGUGAAAGCCCGGGGCUCAANCCCCGGAACUGCCUUUGAGACUGGAUUGCUAGAAUCUUGGAGAGGCGGGUGGAAUUCCGAGUGU
rnacentral:rRNA from 1 species